rnacentral:rRNA from 1 species
UACAGAGGGUGCAAGCGUUGUUCGGAAUUACUGGGCGUAAAGCGUGCGCAGGCGGCUUCUCAAGUCGGGGGUGAAAGCCCGAGGCUCAACCUCGGAACUGCCUUCGAUACUGCGGGUCUCGAGUCCGGGAGAGGUGAGUGGAAUUCCUAGUGUAGAGGUGAAAUUCGUAGAUAUUAGGAAGAACACCAGUGGCGAAGGCGGCUCACUGGCCCGGUACUGACGCUGAGGCGCGAAAGCCAGGGGAGCAAACGGG